GUUGCUUCUCAAUGGUGAACCCCUUCAGACACGAAAUGAGGGAUGUUCAAGUUUCCGAAGCAUAGAUCAAGGUCCAGUUUUAAACAGCAUGGUGCAUAUCCAGUUGCACAUUGCUACCUGUCUCCUGCAACAGCU